rnacentral:misc_RNA from 1 species
AUGAAUUUGAAAGGAGGUUGUUGCUGGCCCCUCACUUUGGGGCAUCGUGCACGCCUCUGAUCUCAUCCACCUCUCACACCCCUGUGCACUCUUGCGUGAGCCUGCUUCCCUGCAGGCUUGCGUCCUUUUAUCACAAACCCCUAUGCAUGUCUCUGAAUGUUUGUUGCUUUAACGCAAUCUUGUA